GGGCUCCCGGCCUGGGCCUCCUGGGUCUCCGGGACGCACUGCCCAACGGAAAAGUUUUCAGCCCAGUCUGUGCCUCGCCGCCAAGCAGCCCUUGGGGCUUCUCAAAGUGGUAGAGAAAAUAGGACAGCUCUACAGGAUGCCCCAAAGAAAACCCUCAUUUGUCGACCAGGCGACCUUAGUGCUGGCGUGGGACUACAGCUGCGCAGCCAGCAAACCCCAGUUGGGGGAGGGGGAGAAGUGGCAGUAGAGUUCGCAUCUGGGGCUUGCUCUAAAGCGCUCUUUGACUGCUUUUGGAUUCCAUAUUUGAAGUUGAGAGUCGUAUUCCACCUGGUACAGGCAGUUCAGGGCAGGAGAAAAGCCAAGUGAACUCUGUGACUCAAUCCCCUUGGAAUGUGCCUGGAAUAAUAAUAGGGACUUGAAAGGGUUUUAUGGCCGAGGUGGCUAGUGGAGAGCAGUCUCCUACGCCUUGCAGUUGGCGGUCGGCCGAGGGGGGCAGUAUUGCCUUAUGCAGAGCUUCUGCGCCUGCAAACGGGACAAAAAUAGUCGGAGCAUCUGGUUUAAAUCAACCAAAAAGCAUUUCUAUCAGCUUAAUCCACCGGCCUACAGAACUGACAGAACAGGACAAGCCAAAUAUAUUCCCGGUACUCUUUUAACACUCCAAUAAUAGCU
rnacentral:lncRNA from 1 species